rnacentral:rRNA from 1 species
UACGAAGGGGGCUAGCGUUGUUCGGAAUUACUGGGCGUAAAGCGCGAGCAGGCGGUCUUCCAAGUCAGUGGUGAAAGCCCGGAGCUCAACUCCGGAACUGCCAUUGAAACUGUAAGACUUGAGGAUGAGAGAGGUGAGUGGAAUUCCCAGUGUAGAGGUGAAAUUCGUAGAUAUUGGGAAGAACACCGGUGGCGAAGGCGGCUCACUGGCUCAUUUCUGACGCUCAGGCGCGACAGCGUGGGGAUCAAACAGG